AUGUCGGAAAUCAUCUUGGAAAACAAACCUAAGCUCAUCAAAUGGCUUAGUUUGGAUUAUAAAUUUGUUUUGCAACAUGUUCAAGCUAAAAAACUUAUAACACAGUCGCACUAUGAUGACUUGAUGGCCAUGAAGGCGAGCGACAGUAUCAUCAAACUUCUGGACAUCAUCCGUAGAAGAGGAGAAAAUGUGUGUCGAGAUUUUCUGGAUUUGCUAAAAGAUGAUGAUGUGAAUGAAAUAUCGCCGGAGCUAAGAGACUGGGUCAAAACAGUUGACUCAGAAGACCAGAAAACAGAAAAAUACAAAGGAAGAGCAAGUGUUAACAGACCUAAACAAGAAACUGCCAACAUGACAGGACAAUCACGCAUCCAAGUAAACAGCAAAAUCUCUGCAUCAGAUGGCAGCAGUGUAAUUUCGCCUACCAUAAUUGGUGGAAAUCUAGGGUCCUUUACAAUGAAUACGACGGUUGCACCCUCUGGCAGAUCAGAUGUGCAGACAAAUUGUAAGUGUAAUAAAUGUACAUUGCCUAAAACAAACAAACAAAGAAACAAUAAAUAAAUAUAUUAAUUAAUUCAAUAAUGAAAAAAGGUCUAUGAACAACAUUGCCUGAAAAAAAAAAAACUAUUAAAAAUAAUAAUUAAAUGAAGUUGCUUAACCUUCCCUUCAGAUAAUGUUGAUCAUGUAUCUCUGGAGGCCAAAGUAAAUUUUCUAUAAGCUUUUUUUUAUUUUGUUUGUUUAUUUAUUUAUUUAUUUUUAUGAGGUUUGCAUUUUCAUGAUGCCCUCAUAUUUUGGACACAUCUACAUACAGUUAAAAAAAAACUGUACAUUUUAUGUUUGGUUAUUAAAAUAUCAAUAAUCAAAGACCAUCCAAAUGGGCUUUCUCAUCUGUUAAUCCAAUUAAUCAAGUAAAAUACUUUAUCAGCAUUGCAAAAGGUACAAUCUAAUUUAGAAUGGCAACUCUCAUAUAUAUGUCACAUUUUAAUGUAUAUAAAUAAUACAUAAAGCCACUGAAGGCACAUUGUACACUGUAUAAGAUAACUUGUUGUAGUGCAUUGAUUUAAUCAAGAUCUAAAAUUUGGCCUUGUAUAGCCCUGUUAUCACUUUCUCUUCCUUUGUAUUUUCAAUAAUCUUUUUCCCCAAAUAUUUCAGACCAAGAAACCUGAUAGAGACUGUGAACACAGGCCAGUACAAGGUAUAGAGGAAGUUUAUUUCUUUCUAUUCUGUAUACAUAUUUUUCUUUCCAAUAUUUUAUGAUUUAUUUUUUCUUUUUGUAUUCCCAGAUUAUCAGAAGUUUCUAAAAUAAAACACCAGUCUGCUGGUUCA
ensembl:lncRNA